CUCCCUCUGGUAUUUGGCAAAUGGUGGAUAUUUAAAAUAAAUAUGGAUCAGUUGAAAUAAGACAAGAGACAAUCAUCACAGUGGGCGAGAAUCUGGGCUGAGCAUAUCAGCUCAUUCUUUUUCAUUGCUGAACAAGAGUAUUCCAUGGUCUGGAUGCACCACAGUUCAUCCACCUACAAGCUGAAGGGUGACUGUGCUGAUACUGUGAAGCCUCAAGCUGGAAACAGACCCAAUCCUUGAGUCACUACUCAGAAGAAAGCGUCCCUGGAGAAACCUUGGACAUGCAGCACAUU